UUCCUGGAGGUCUAGUGGUUAGACCUCGGAGCUCUCACCGCCACAGCCUGGGUUAGAUUCCCGGCCAGAGAA